GUGGGGAAUAUUGGACAAUGGGCGAAAGCCUGAUCCAGCAAUGCCGCGUGAGUGAUGAAGGCCUUAGGGUUGUAAAGCUCUUUUACCAGGGAUGAUAAUGACAGUACCUGGAGAAUAAGCUCCGGCUAACUCCGUGCCAGCAGCCGCGGUAAUACGGAGGGAGCUAGCGUUGUUCGGAAUUACUGGGCGUAAAGCGCACGUAGGCGGUUACUCAAGUCAGAGGUGAAAGCUCGGGGCUCAACCCCGGAACUGCCUUUGAAACUAGGUAACUAGAAUCUUGGAGAGGUCAGUGGAAUUCCGAGUGUAGAGGUGAAAUUCGUAGAUAUUCGGAAGAACACCAGUGGCGAAGGCGACUGACUGGACAAGUAUUGACGCUGAGGUGCGAAAGCGUGGGGAGCAAACAGGAUUAGAAACCCGUGUAGUCC
rnacentral:rRNA from 1 species